rnacentral:rRNA from 1 species
AGGAUGAACGCUAGCGGCAGGCUUAACACAUGCAAGUCGAGGGGUAACAGGGAUUGCUUGCAAUCCGCUGACGACCGGCGCACGGGUGCGUAACGCGUAUGCAACCUACCUUCUACAGGGGGAUAGUCAAUAGAAAUGUUGAAUAAUACCCCAUACGAUCUUUGAAUAGCAUUAUUUAAAGAAGAAAGCUCCGGCGGUAGAAGAUGGGCAUGCAUCCUAUUAGUUAGUUGGUAAGGUAACGGCUUACCAAGACUUCGAUAGGUAGGGGUCCUGAGAGGGAGACCCCCCACACUGGUACUGAGACACGGACCAGACUCCUACGGGAGGCAGCAGUGAGGAAUAUUGGACAAUGGAGGCAACUCUGAUCCAGCCAUGCCGCGUGCAGGAAGACUGCCCUAUGGGUUGUAAACUGCUUUUAUACAGGAAGAAAUAUACCUACGUGUAGGUAUUUGACGGUACUGUACGAAUAAGGAUCGGCUAACUCCGUGCCAGCAGCCGCGGUAAUACGGAGGAUCCAAGCGUUAUCCGGAAUCAUUGGGUUUAAAGGGUCCGUAGGCGGUCUUUUAAGUCAGAGGUGAAAUCCUACAGCUCAACUGUAGAAUUGCCUUUGAUACUGAAAGACUUGAGUUAUUGUGAAGUAGUUAGAAUGUGUGGUGUAGCGGUGAAAUGCAUAGAGAUCACACAGAAUACCGAUUGCGAAGGCAGAUUACUAACAAUAUACUGACGCUGAGGGACGAAAGCGUGGGUAGCGAACAGGAUUAGAUACCCUGGUAGUCCACGCCGUAAACGAUGGAUACUAGCUGUUCGACCAACAUUGGUUGGUUGAGUGGCUAAGCGAAAGUGAUAAGUAUCCCACCUGGGGRGUACGGUCGCAAGACUGAAACUCAAAGGAAUUGACGGGGGCCCGCACAAGCGGUGGAGCAUGUGGUUUAAUUCGAUGAUACGCGAGGAACCUUACCAGGGCUUAAAUGUAAGUUGCAUGAUUUAGAGAUAGAUCUUUCUUCGGACUACUUACAAGGUGCUGCAUGGUUGUCGUCAGCUCGUGCCGUGAGGUGUCAGGUUAAGUCCUAUAACGAGCGCAACCCCUGUCGUUAGUUGCCAGCAAGUUAAGUUGGGCACUCUAGCGAGACUGCCAGUGCAAACUGUGAGGAAGGUGGGGAUGACGUCAAAUCAUCACGGCCCUUACGUCCUGGGCUACACACGUGCUACAAUGGUCGGUACAGAGAGCAGCCACUACGCGAGUAGGAGCGAAUCUAUAAAACCGAUCUCAGUUCGGAUCGCAGUCUGCAACUCGACUGCGUGAAGCUGGAAUCGCUAGUAAUCGGAUAUCAGCCAUGAUCCGGUGAAUACGUUCCCGGGCCUU